rnacentral:lncRNA from 1 species
ACAGAUCGCAAGCUAAAUCAUCCAUCUUAGGAGGUACAGACUACAGGGGGCCGUGGCUUCCUCUUAACCGCGGCAGCUGCUGAUAAAUACUGUACUAUUAACAGUGAGGCCCGGCGUAAUUUCCUUAUUAGAGGGCUUCUUUACGUCUCUUCAUCCCAAACUGGGAAAUGGUAAUUGAAGAAACCCUUUUCUUUCAAAAAUCCCAGGCCUGUACCCUGUCUUUAGGCAGCGUGGUGUAUGAUAGGAGCGUUUUUAAAAAAUAGUUUGAUCAGCAGUGAGGGCAUAAAGAGCUGCUUCUGGAACCUGCAGCACCAAAUUUCUCUUCAGGAAACUAACAGACUUGGUUGCAAUACGGUUGGUGAGACAGAUAUCAAUUUUUUUUUUAAAUAUAAAACUCCCUGCCUGUAAUCCCAGCUACUAGGGAGGCUGAGGCAGGAGAAUCGCUUGAACCCGAGAAACGGAAGCUGAUUAGCUGGGCGUGGUGGAGUGCACCUGUAAUCCCAGCUACCUAGGAGGCUGAGGCAGGAGAAUCAGUUGAACCCGGGAGACGGAGGUUGCAGCGAGCCGAGAUCUUGCCACUGCACUCCAGUCUGGGGGACAAGAGCGAGACUCUGUCUCAAAAAAAAAAAAAAAAAGUGAAUAAGAGUAAAACGAAAAAUAAAAUUUAAAAAGCGAUUAGGAGACACUAAUUCAUUCUCCACAGUAGGUACUGUGAUCAUUUUAAAAAUCAGUUGGUUACAUACCUACUAAAAAUCCUUGUUGUUGUUGUUUUGAGACGUAGUCUCGCUCUAUCACCCAGGCUAAGAGUGCAGUGGUGCAGUCUCGGCUCACUGCAUCCUCUGCCUCCCGGGUUCAAGCAAUUCUCCUGCCUCAAGCCUCCUGAGUACCUGGGACUACAGGCGCCCUCCAAGCCUCCUGAGUACCUGGGACUACAGGCGCCCCCCCCCACACACACACACACACCCGGCUAAUUUUUGUAUUUUUAGUAGAGACGGGAUUUCACCAUGUUGGCCAGGCUGGUCUUGAACUCCUGACCUCAAGUGAUCCACCAGCCUCCACCUCCCAAAGUGCUGGGAUUACAGGCGUGAGCCACUGCGCCCGGCCUAAAAACCCUUUUUGUUAGAGGGGUUUGGUUAUACUACCCAGGCUGGCCUGAAACUCGCCUCCCAAGCAUCUGGGACGACAGGGGUGUAACCAUGCACCCGGCUCUUUCCUUGGCAUU